CGGGGGCCUCGUUGAUCACCGAGGACGGGCCCCCAGGGCGAGGCGCGGGCAUUGCACUGCGCUUGCGUUAACCCCUGCCACUGCCCCAAACUGGGACAGAUAGGG
rnacentral:snRNA from 1 species